rfam:Chloroflexi bacterium RBG_16_56_8 RBG_16_scaffold_85126, whole genome shotgun sequence.
CUUGGUGAUUUGAGCGGCAGGGAUACACCCGGUCCCAUCCCGAACCCGGAAGUUAAGCCUGUCAGCGCCGAUGGUACUUGGAGGGAGACCUCCCGGGAGAGUAGGUCAUUGCCAAGG